AGAUCAAGACUCCUUAGCAAUUUAAGAGAAUGAGAGAAACUUGCCGAAAUGCUUUCUAAUAGAGAAUCAGCUAGACGCUCUAGAAGAAGAAAACAAGCCCAUUUGAUUGAGCUAGAAACACAGGUUUUGUCCUUUAUCUUGUCCCUUGGGACCCAGCCUAUAACACUCUGCACUUUCUCAUCAAAGAAUACAACACUUGUAUUUGCUGCAUUAGAUAGGCCAACUGUCAUGUACAGUAGUAACAAGAAAUUACUCUACAACAAUGUAAAUUUGAAAGAGGUUAGUCAUAUGUGCCCUUUCAACUCUGCUACUUUUCCGGACAAGUAAAUUUGGCUCUCUCUCUUAAUUUAAAUUUUUUUCCCCCUCAUCAUCGCCAAUUGAAAUGUUGGAACUUGAUUCUUUUGUAUUUUUGCUUAAACAUACUUCUUGAAUUGGAAAAGGAGAAAUCUGUAAUUGUUAUUCUAGUCCAUGCUUCUAAAGGUAAUUCUAUGCCACUUGUUUUCAAAUUCAUUUUUUGUUUCCAAAAGAAGGAAAAAAUGGCUUCAUCUUUAAUUCUGCUGGCUGCUGCUGCUGCUGCCCUGGUGGCUGAUGCUUGCUGCGGCUGCUGAUGUUGCUGCAAUGUUGCUGUGAGGCGUGCAUACUGCCAAUCCAUCUGAUGAAGUUGCACCUGUCGGAAUGUGGGUGCAGUUGCACCUGCCGGGCAUGCAUGUUGAAGGGAAGGUAUAUUUUCGGGACGAUGUGUUCCGAUUUCUGCAAGAGAAAUCACACAAAAUGAACUACAUAUGGUCCACUCUUUGGAGCACAUUGAAUCUGUAGAGCUUACAAGCCGUAUUUUUUCUAGCUGCAUGUGUUCUAUUUUUUUUCUUUUUGUUGAGUGAUGCACACCAGACCAUGUGGUGGGUGUAUGUGGUUGUUGACAGAUAUGUUGAGAUUAGUCUUUAGAUUUCUUAGUUCCUGUUGAUUGGUAACGAGGGGUGACCUCUUUUUGAUUUCCUAGAAGGUUG